rnacentral:rRNA from 1 species
UACGGAGGAUGCAAGCGUUAUCCGGAAUCAUUGGGCGUAAAGCGUCCGCAGGUGGCUGUUCAAGUCUGCUGUUAAAGACAGAAGCUCAACUUCUGAACAGCAGUGGAAACUGGACGGCUAGAGUACGGUAGGGGUUGAGGGAAUUCCCAGUGUAGCGGUGAAAUGCGUAGAUAUUGGGAAGAACACCAGUGGCGAAGGCGCUCAACUGGGCCGUAACUGACACUCAGGGACGAAAGCUAGGGU